rnacentral:rRNA from 1 species
AACGAACGCUGGUGGCAUGCCUAAUACAUGCAAGUCGAACGAGAAAGCACUUCGGUGUGAGUAGAGUGGCGCACGGGUGAGUAACGCGUAGGUGACGUACCUAUUAGUGGGGGACAACAUCGGGAAACCGGUGCUAAUACCGCAUACUCUGAACUAAUUGAAGAAACUAAGGAAAGGGGGCUUCGGCUCUCGCUAAGAGAUUGGCCUGCGUAGCAUUAGCUUGUUGGUGGGGUAAUGGCCUACCAAGGCGACGAUGCUUAACUGGUCUGAGAGGAUGAUCAGUCACACUGGAACUGAGACACGGUCCAGACUCCUACGGGAGGCAGCAGUAGGGAAUAUUGCGCAAUGGAGGAAACUCUGACGCAGCAAUGCCACGUGAGUGAGGAAGGUCUUCGGAUUGUAAAGCUCUGUCCUAUAGGAAGAACUGCAUUAUGGUUAAUACCCAUAGUGUUUGACGGUACUAUAGAAGAAAGCACCGGCUAACUCCGUGCCAGCAGCCGCGGUAAUACGGAGGGUGCAAGCGUUGUUCGGAUUUAUUGGGCGUAAAGCGCGCGCAGGCGGGCUAGCAAGUCAGAUGUGAAAUCUCGGGGCUUAACCUCGAAACUGCGUCUGAAACUGUUGAUCUAGAAUCUCAGAGAGGGUAGGGGAAUUUCACGUGUAGGGGUAAAAUCCGUAGAGAUGUGAAGGAACACCGGAGGCGAAGGCGCCUACCUGGAUGAGUAUUGACGCUGAGGCGCGAAAGCGUGGGGAGCAAACAGGAUUAGAUACCCUGGUAGUCCACGCCGUAAACGAUGAGUACUAGUUUUUGGGGGUAUUGACUCCUUCAGAGACGCAGCUAACGCAUUAAGUACUCCGCCUGGGAAGUACGGUCGCAAGACUAAAACUCAAAGGAAUUGACGGGGGCCCGCACAAGCGGUGGAUUAUGUGGUUUAAUUCGAAGCAACGCGCAGAACCUUACCAAGGCUUGAAAUCCUAGGAAUCCGACGUAAUUGUUGGAGUGCUCGCAAGAGAAUGAGGUGACAGGUGCUGCAUGGCUGUCGUCAGCUCGUGUUGUGAAAUGUUGGGUUAAGUCUCGCAACGAGCGCAACCCCUAUCUUUAGUUGCCAGCAUUAAGUUGGGCACUCUAGAGAGACUGCCCGGGUUAACCGGGAGGAAGGUGGGGAUGACGUCAAGUCCUCAUGGCCCUUAUGCCUAGGGCUACACACGUAAUACAAUGGUGCAUACAAAGGGAAGCGAUCGCGCGAGCGUUAGCAAAUCUCAAAAAGUGCAUCUCAGUCCGGAUUGGAGUCUGCAACUCGACUCCAUGAAGUUGGAAUCGCUAGUAAUCGUAGAUCAGCACGCCACGGUGAAUACGUUCCCGGGGCCU